AAGGCCUUAGUAAAAUUAUUACAUGGCCCCGUCAGAGCUAAAUUACAGAACUCGCCCCUGUAGGCCUUA
rnacentral:tRNA from 1 species